rnacentral:rRNA from 1 species
GGCGCCUCAAGUGGUAGUCGCUUUUAUUGGGCCUAAAACGUCCGUAGCCGGUCUGAUACAUUCGUGGGUAAAUCAACCAGCUCAACUGGUUGAAUUCUGCGAGGACGGUCAGACUUGGGACCGGGAGAGGUGUGGGGUACGCUCAGGGUAGGGGUAAAAUCCUGUCAUCCUGAGCGGACCACCUGUUGCGAAGGCGCCACACUAGAACGGAUCCGACGGUCAGGGACGAAGCCUAGGGGCACGAACCGG